rnacentral:lncRNA from 1 species
AGACACACUUGACGUUUUAUUUUUUUUAUAUUUUUUUAUACAAAGCAGCGGCGACGACUUGGAGUCCAAUAUAAACUGCUAUGCUCCUGCGCCGGAUGUGGCAAAUUUGGUGCCACUGAGCAGGACACAACAAGAAAGAAGAGUCGGGGACUGUAGCGGACGGGGCAGAGUGUAAUCAAAAUCGGAAUUCAACUUUGACCAGGAUUGUGGUUUACCCUGCAGAUUUGCAGAAGCGACCCCAAAGGUGUUUGGGACUAAAAACGUUCGUUUUUUUUAGUUUGUGGUAAAUCUAGCAUUCCCUUUUGCUAUCCUGUAACUCCUGCACGGCAUUCCCGGCUUGUCAAUGCCAUCAGGGUAACUCGUUUCAACGCUACGGACUGAGACCGGGACCCACCUUCGGGGCCGUCGACUCGUCUUGACGUCGUGGCGUCACAUCUAAUGCCCUUGACGUCGUUCUAUUUAAGUUCAAUUUAUUUGCGGCCAGGCGACUAAGCGAAUGCCGUUGAUCGAUUCCUGUUGUAGAGCAGCACAAGCGUACAUCACCAUGCCUCACAUCCCCCAUCCGCAUGAAGGUCCCUGGCGUUGACACUCCCGUUGACUUAGCCGAGAUUGGGCAAAUCUCGGGGCUGCCUUUUAUGUUUCAAAUGUUUUUCUGUGAACUGUCACAUUUGUC